rnacentral:rRNA from 1 species
CACAGAGGGGGCAAGCGUUGUUCGGAAUUACUGGGCGUAAAGGGCGCGUAGGCGGCCUGCUAAGUCGAACGUGAAAUCCCCGGGCUCAACCCGGGAACUGCGUCCGAUACUGGUGGGCUUGAAUCCGGGAGAGGGAUGUGGAAUUCCAGGUGUAGCGGUGAAAUGCGUAGAUAUCUGGAGGAACACCGGUGGCGAAGGCGGCAUCCUGGACCGGUAUUGACGCUGAGGCGCGAAAGCUAGGGGAGCAAACGGG